AGGGGCGUCGCCAAGUGGCCUAAGGCACCGGGUUUUGAUCCCGGCAUUCGCAGGUUCGAAUCCUGCCGCCCCUGCCA
rnacentral:tRNA from 1 species